rnacentral:rRNA from 1 species
UACGGGGGGAGCAAGCGUUGUUCGGAUUUACUGGGCGUAAAGGGCGCGUAGGCGGCGUGUUAAGUCACUUGUGAAAUCUCUGAGCUUAACUCAGAACGGUCAAGUGAUACUGAUGUGCUAGAGUGCAGAAGGGGCAACCGGAAUUCUUGGUGUAGCGGUGAAAUGCGUAGAUAUCAAGAGGAACACCUGAGGUGAAGACGGGUUGCUGGGCUGACACUGACGCUGAGGCGCGAAAGCUAGGGUAGCAAACGGG